GUGUAUAGGGAGUCCCUCUUCCUUUUGAUGGUUUUGCCGGAAAUAUAUCUUGUGGUAAUGAAGAAGCUGCUUCAGAAACUCUCCCUUCUUCUGCCAAUCCACCGAAUGAGACCAAGAAGCUCGAUGAGUCUACCGUGGAUGACAGAAAAAGAAAUACGAAAAGAAAUUCAGCCCAUAACGAGAAUGGAUUUGCUGAUGGUUUUAUACCCACGGAUACUGGAAAGGAAGAUGAAGGUC